UGUAAUACCGUCAUCAUCCGCUCAUCCGGGUCUCUAGGGGGCGCUAGAGAGACUUGCCCGCUAACAUCAGCGCUUGAACGGCGCGCGUCAGGACGUUCAGUAAAACGUGGACUGGAUAAGAAUCUGCGGAGUGAGAUUAAAAUAAAUUUCCCUUACUGACAAGCUAAACAGAGUCGUCUGCGCAGACGCAGAAGGAUCAGGAGACGGCUCUGACGGAGGAAGAGCGCAGACAACAGCAGGAACUACUGCAGUCUUUAGCGGAGUGUGUCCUUCACGUGUCCAGGCGCAGGCUCACGUCUUUAGG